CAGUCGCCACGGGAAUACGUGGGUGGCAAGCGUUGUCCGGAAUUAUUGGGCGUAAAGGGCUCGCAGGCGGUUUCUUAAGUCUGAUGUGAAAGCCCCCGGCUCAACCGGGGAGGGUCAUUGUAAACUGGGAAACUUGAGUGCAGAAGAGGAGAGUGGAAUUCCACGUGUAGCGGUGAAAUGCGUAGAGAUGUGGAGGAACACCAGUGGCGAAGGCGACUCUCUGGUCUGUAACUGACGCUGAGGAGCGAAAGCGUGGGGAGCGAACAGGAUUAGAUACCCCUGUAGUCCCUGUCUCUUAUAC
rnacentral:rRNA from 1 species